UCCCCGGCCCCUCCACUUUCCCUUUCUUCAGAGACUGGGUCUCACUAUGAAGCCCAAGCUGGGCUCAGGCUCUUCUCAGUCCUCCUGCCUCAGCCUCCCGAGACUGCAGGCUUGUGUGUCUCUUAUUCCAGUGCUUGAGACUGGAAGUGUUUGGGGUUCAGAUUUUUUUUCAAGAUUUUGUAACAUUUGCAAAUGUGUUGUGAGACGUCUCAGGCAGGGACCCAAGUCUGAACACAAAGUCCACACAGGUUUUGUCCUUGCCUUCUGCACCACAGCCUGGAGGGAACUGGCACUCCCAGUGCAGGAGGGCUGAACGAUCUUCCAGCUCACCCAUUCAUUCCCCACAGCCUCCAGGCCUGACUCACGUCUCUCCACACCCUACCCAUCAGUCUUAUUACCUUCCCUGCUUACAGCUGAGCCAAGGCUGGGUGUGGGGGUGUAUGUGUGGAAUCUCAGCACUCAGGAGGCUGAGGCAGGAGGGUUGAUGCAAGUUCCAGGCCAGCCUAUACAUUAUACAUUGUAAGACCCUGUCUCCAAAAGCCAAACCAAAGAUAGAGGAGCAAGCAGGGACACAGAGAGGCAAAGUCACUUGGAGGAUGUCACACAGCUGCAGAGGGGCAGAGCUGGGAACUGAAGGCAGGCAGUCCAGUCCUGAAGUGUGCAGACUCAAGUAAGUGUUCACAGCCACGAGCGACUCCUGCCAGCCUCCUCAGGUAACCUGUCACCUUUGAAGUUAAACUCCCAGGGGUUAUAUUAUUAUUACUGUAUUUUUCUUUUCUUUUUUUGAGAUGGGGACUCACUAUGUAGCCCAGGCUGACCUUAAACUCGUGGCGAUCCUCCUGCCUCAGC
rnacentral:lncRNA from 1 species